rnacentral:lncRNA from 1 species
UCUGCUGGAGUUCAGCUGGUGACAAGAGACGAACAUAAGCUAACGAUUUCAUGCAUUCCCGAUUGCUAGGCAAUUCGAUAGCGACAUUCCUGGCGAGUCGUUAGUGGUACCAGGACGGUUACUAGUGACAAAAUUUGCGACACCAAUUCCUUCCCCCAACGAAUUUAACAUGGCGAUGUCAUUGGAGGGUACAGAGUGGUACGCGUGGUAUGACCUUUCGCUAGCGAUUAUCUAUUGCCGACUACCAAUCGCUAGGGAAUUGCCUAAGGACUAGUAAUGCACAAAAUCGCUUGAAUGUGAUAUUUUCAAUAUAGGUGUCGCAUUGCCUGGCGCUAGCGCAUUGCAUAAAAAUCGGUAAUGCAUGGAAUCAUUAGCUUAUAGCCGUCUCUUGUCACCAGCUGAACUCCAGGAGAACCACGAUGUCAUGAUAUCGAAAAUAUUAAUGCGAAUAGAAUUUUGAACACGUAUUUAUGAAACUAAACAUGAGUGUGUAGAUUUCGCGCCUUAAUCAAUGUUAAUGUUAGUACUGAAUUUGAUGGAUGAUAGCAGAGCGAUGAAAGCAAUUCACCGCAUUUAUCCUUAGCCGGUGGUUUCAGUGCUUUCCAAAAUGAUUGCUUGCUAGCGAAAUCAACCUAUACGCAUGUCGUACGUACAUAUAUUAAAAGGCGCACUGUGGAUCUGACGGUUGAUUUAUCGGUGAUAAUUUGACAUUUACCCCUGCACAACUCAACGCUGGUGUCUACGAAUGAAGCUUUAACGCAUAACAAUACUGGCAAAAAUCACAUCCAUUGGGCCAAUCGUAGCACACAAGAGUUCGAAACACUCAAUGGUGUAACAAGUCGAUUUAAUCGGAAAUUCACGGCACCUCUUCUAACUUGGCGAUUAUUCGUAUUGGCGGGUGAAUUUGUGAAACUACACUAUCCAGAGAGUUACUCAAAAACACACAAAAAUCCGUGCGAGCAUUUAGGAGGAUUUCACUCACAAACAUACCUACAGAUGAAUUAUAUAUACGUUUGUACGGCGCCACGCCAUUUUUCUCCAUGAGUAUAAGAUUAAUUUCAUAUAUCUUCACACGAAGUUCGAGUACUCUACCAUGAACAUUUCCAGAGAUAUUCGGCUGGUCGAUCUACCACCACUAGCCACCAACAAUUUAUGGAGACGAAUAUAGGUAAAAUAAAGAAAAUUCUCGCAAGUAACAACUACCCACACCACCUAGUACAAAGCCUAAUCGUACAGAAAGUAACAGAGAUAAAUAAAGAUCAAAACAAAAUGCCAACCACGAAAACAACAGACGGAACAAAGCGAUAUCAUAGUGUGACCUACAUUCCAAAGUUCCAUCAACAACUUGACCACGAAAUAACCACCAACAACCGUAAUAUUAAAUUGGCAUACCGAACCAACAGCACACUAUCUUCGAUCUUCACACCGAUCAAGCUCCACCAACAAAACAACGAGGUCUAUGAAAUCCCAUGUAUAGGCAAAGAAAACGAAGACUGCAACAAAGUUUACAUAGGGACAACAAAACGUGCACUAGGCGUUCGCCUUUCAGAGCACGAAGCCGACAUAAAG